GGGGGGAGGCCGGAUCCUGGGCUGUGUCCCGGCGCCCUGUGCUCCGGGGCCUGCGCUGUUGGAUUCGCGCUCCCGGACCACGCAACCCCCU
rfam:Canis lupus familiaris chromosome 4, whole genome shotgun sequence.